ACGCAAUAGGGAUUGCAGUGGAAAUCCUUUUGCUUUUCUUUCACAUAAGGAAAAGCAAAAGAUUGACUUCGUCGAACCACUUUGCUAGGUUUGCAACGGAAAGCCCGACCCGAG
rnacentral:misc_RNA from 1 species